UUUUGGGGAACCACUCAUUGUUCACCAGAGUGCCAUUUCCCCUACCUUAAGCUUUGUUGAAGUUGCGAUUCUGUUCUAAAGCUUGGGGAGUUUUAGCCUGCUGGACGGAUCAUCACAUGGUCUUCAUCUGUGAGAUGCAGAGACUCCUCAACCAGCCUGGCCACUCUCACUUUUUCCUUCUCCCCUGUGUUCUCUGGUCUUCCCCAGGCUCUCCUUCCUUCACGAGGACUGGAAACCCGACCCUACUGCACCUGUGAGCUCAUCGCUAGCUGGGCUUAGGGGUUAAAUAAAAAGGAGAGGAAGUCGAAAUCCCAACUGGAGGUGUGAUGCCUGCCUGUGGAGGGCUGGUCCAGGGCUGAGGGGGAGUUGAGGAAGAGGGACAGAGGGAGUGAGAGGGUUAAGUUACACAGUAUGAAGAGAAGGAAAUGCUGAGGUGUUGAUCUCACUGAAAAGUUGCUUGAGCCGCUGAGCAGUGGCCCCGUUCUCCUGCUCGCUCUCUGAAAGUUUACAAGUCAACCGUGCAGUACGAGGAAGGGGGAGCGCCACAGAGGACUGCGAGACUGCAUGCAUUUAGAGUCCCUGACAGCAGCCCUAGAGAAGGCAGCGUUGAACUUGGUGGCGCCUCUGAACCAGCCCGGGAGGCGAAGGACUGCUGCUGUGGCAUCGCCAGCGGAGUACAGGAGUAGCGGAGCAUACCGGGGAUAAACUGAAUCGUUGCCCGGACCAGCAUGCCCCCCCACAACAACCACCCGCCUCCGGGAAUUCUCGGACAGAGCCGCUAGGACCCUGGAGUACACCAGUCAAGAUGUGGAAGCCUGAAAGCCUGACAGAGUGAAAGCCUGCGCUGGGUGUCAUUCACGGGGGAAACGGACCAGGGAUAGUUCACCAUGCCCCAUGGAUAUACAAUAAAACGACGUUCAGCAUUCCUGAAAAAGGUGAAGACCAUCUUACUGCAUAAAACCAGUUUUAUCGCUGACAUCUGGAUGUGCGUUAUUAAAUAACUACAGCGCUGUCCACUAUAGCCUAAUAACACUACGGUGGUAAAUAUACAUAUAUUUUAAAACUUUAGCUAAAAUAGGAUAAAUUUGAUUUCACGCAUAUGGUUUAUGUUUUACGUACAAUAUAGCCUAUGGUUUUGUAUGUAAAACAAGCCUAUAUGAAACACUGACUACAUAUUCUUUUUAAAUGUACUUUAUAUGUAUUUUCCAUUUGAUUUCAAAUCAAGUACUUCAAGUGAGCCGUUUCAGACAAAUCUAUUGGCAUUGUGAGUGUCGUUUUUCCCUUUUUGCGCAGCGUUUGAAAUUCACCUGCGGUUCGUGACAUAUUGGUAAUGAUAAGGAACUUUUACCUACGCUGCUAUUGGCAGCUGUAACUGACAUUUAUUUAAAUUGCUGGCUAUAUUGACACAUCGGCUCAGGAUUCUAUUUAAAGAUGUUGCCAGUCCAGUGCUUCACCUGGAUUAGGG
rnacentral:lncRNA from 1 species